GGAGAGGUGACAGAGCGGUUGAAUGUACUGGUCUUGAAAACCAGCGAGGGUUUAUCCCCUCCCAGGGUUCGAAUCCCUGCCUCUCCGCCA
rnacentral:tRNA from 1 species